UUUUUGUUCAUUGCUGUUGUUUUGUAGGACAUAGUUUCUGGAGCUUUUUUCAACACUUGCUAUCCUGGAUAUAUAGUCCCUUCGUGGUUCGAUCACCAAGCAGUUGGAUCAGUCUUAGAGCCAAGGCUGGAACCACAUUGGUAUAACACUAUGCUUUCUGGGAUAGCUCUAUGUGCAGUUGUAUCAUUCCAUGAGAACCAAGAUCCGAUCAUCGGCAGUUUCUCAGUAAAAUGCACAUUGCAAUUUGAAAACGAAGAUGGGUCUCUUCGCUUUGAUUGUGAUAUCGGAUGUUUGAACGAACCAGGAAUGAUUGAGGCAGACCAUGUUUUUAUCGGCUAUGUCACUUGCUCACGUUUGAAAGAUCACCACUCUAUACCUAUUCAUCACCCUACAACUGUAAAAAUGCAGUUCCACUUGACUGAUGCUUGUAAAAGUAAAGUGGUGGAUUGUGGGUUCCGUUUGAUGUACACCCAGAGCCGUGGCUGUUUGUUAGAGGAAGAAGUCAACGCCAACUUCACUAAAUUAUACUUGGGUUUAUUGUAAAAGUAGGCAGUUUUUAGAAAAUUAUUUGAGAACUAGACAGUUUUUUUGGAAAUAUGCUGAGAGAGUACUUUUUAUUGGGCUUGUCUAAUAGGAUUCAUGUGAGAUAGAAAAAAGUAGCAAAAAUCCAAAAGAGGUGUCAAAUACAAUAGUAGCCUUGUGUUUUAAAAACACACAUUCCGGCUGGGUUCGACGAAACAAAUUGGAUUGGGUUUUAAAACUCAUUUUAGGCCCGUUAACUCCAAUUCGUAUUAAGUGAGCCCAAAUAUUUGAGCCCGAUAGUUUCAUUACGUUUUUUAUCCAAAUAACUUCUGAGCCCGUGUUUAUUCUGAGAUUGAGUUACUUUACUCUUCUUGGUUUUUCACGAACCCUAGCCACAGUCGGUGUACAACAAAUCGAGGGUGAACGAGUUCGAGAAGAGAGACGUUUGAGAGAAACCCAGUACACCAAAUGGGUACACUAUAAUAGUACACCAAGUGAGAACACUAGAACAGUACACCACUAGUACACUAGACUAGUACACUAGCCAAGAUAGAAUAUAAUAGUAGACUAGAAUAGUACACCAAAUGGGUACACCAAUUAGUAACCAAGUGAAUUAAAAACAGUACACCACUUUGGUGCACUAGACUAGUCUACUAUUAUACUAAAAACAUUUAGGAAAUGCAAUGGAAUUAAAAACUAUACCCUAAAACUAUACACUAAAAGACAUUAUUGAAAUGUAGUGAAAUUCAAAACUAUACACUAAAAGUCAAAGAGAGAAGACUAAACCCAAGGAAAACCAUAUAUCAUAUGGAAUGAAGUUUAAAACUAUACCCUAAAGCCUUAGAUUACUAGAAUUUAGAAUUCCAAGUAAAUAAAUAAAGGGUUAAUUUACUGAAUGACCAAAUUUGACAUCCUUAUUAAGAGAAUGACCUUCUCCCAGAAAAGUUGGGUAUAUAACGUUUUUUUACCAUGCGAAAUAUCCGAUAUAGCCUCUACGGAUGGGCGGCAAAACCAUAUUCCCGACAGCAGACUUGUAGAUGUAGGGGAGCUAGAGAUUGUAGGGCAAUGAUUACAACGUAUCAAAAAAAAAAAGCAUGCAUUACUUAUGCAGUUACUACUAAAUAAAGCAUGAACUAUUUAUGAGUGUAGAUCUCAAUUUAGAGCUUUCAUUACUACAACUUUCUAAGUUUGUACUGAACGUUUCAUAAAAUACAUGCAAUUUACAACUGCAGCAGCAUGUACUAUGAAAGGAUUUAUUUCAUU
rnacentral:sRNA from 1 species